CUUGCCCUGUGUACAUUUUUGUAUUUGAUGCAAUAAGUUUCCUUUACUGUCUAUGUCUGAAUUUGUUUGGCUACAAAAACCAUCCAAAAUUAUAUAAUCAAACUAAUGCCCUUCACUAACUUCAUCAAAACAAAUAUCAGUAAUUCGAUAACUCUACCAUUUCAAUGUCUGCCUCUAUAACAUCUCCAGAGUCCUUGAUCGGAGAUCAAAGUACAAAUAUGAAGGAAAGACAUGCAGAAACAUGCAUGAGAAGAUCAUGGCCUGGAUGGCCUCUGGGACCAUAAUGAAGCCUUAUGAUGUGAACGACACACGACCUGUGGUAGAGCAUCCCCCAUCUCCUGUGGGCGCAACCCAUAAACCUGUGAGUGAAAGAGGCAGCCUGAUAGAUGAUUUUGCCGUAGAACUACCCAGAUUCAAUGUGACAUCAUCACAGUAAUAUUUGGCUACUCUAGUCUACAUAUGCCUGUUAGUGCUUUUUUUUAAAAAAAAAAAACUAUUUUUUAAAUUUAUUUUAUAGAGAACACGAGAGAAAGAGAGAGAGAAAUGAGCAGAGAGAGAGGGAGAAGCAGGCUCCCCACUGAGCAAGGAGCCUGAUGUGGGACUCGCUCCCAGGACCCCGGGAUCAUGACCUGAGCUGAAGGCAGACACUUAACCGACUGAGUCGCCCAGGUGGCCCACCUGUUAUUCUGGUAAAAACUACACGUUGUUCAAGGUGCCGUUCACCUCACCAGAAUUGCGCCCGCCUAUUUCAUGCAUGGAACUUGGACUUUAGGAAGGGAUGCAAUUUACAGUAUCUGUGGUACAGCCUCUUGUGGUUGCUCGUGGCAGCCUGGGUGGCACUAUACGGAGAUGAGCCAUGAGCUCUGAAUCUCAGUGACACCUGGGUCACACUAAACGUGAACUGCAAAUGGAAGUCGGGCCAUGUGACAUUAUGAUCAAUUAUGGGCGAAACCUUUAUGGGCGAGAAAAGGUAGAUUAGCUGCAGUGAUAAACCCAAAAUCUCAGGGGGUUAGCGAAAACUCAGGCAUAUUUUUCACUCAUGUAAAGUCUAGGAGACCAUCCAGACCAAAUAUUCUUCAUGCUGUGACUCAGUGAUACAGGCUGACGGAGGCCCCAUCAUACCACACCUGUGUCAUCUGGCACACAUGGCUCUCAUGGCCAAUGAGGCAGGCAAAGGGAAUGCAAAAGGGUCUUCUAUUGGCUAUUAAAUAUCUCAUCUUGG
rnacentral:lncRNA from 1 species